rnacentral:rRNA from 1 species
GACGAACGCUGGCGGCGUGCUUAACACAUGCAAGUCGAACGGAAAGGCCCUGCUUUUGUGGGGUGCUCGAGUGGCGAACGGGUGAGUAACACGUGAGUAACCUGCCCUUGACUUUGGGAUAACUUCAGGAAACUGGGGCUAAUACCGGAUAGGAGCUCCUGCUGCAUGGUGGGGGUUGGAAAGUUUCGGCGGUUGGGGAUGGACUCGCGGCUUAUCAGCUUGUUGGUGGGGUAGUGGCUUACCAAGGCUUUGACGGGUAGCCGGCCUGAGAGGGUGACCGGCAACAUGGGACUUGGGUACCGGCCAGGCUCCUUAGGGGGGCCAGAGGGGGGAAUAUUGCACAAUGGGCGGAAGCCUGAUGCAGCAACGCCGCGUGCGGGAUGACGGCCUUCGGGUUGUAAACCGCUUUCGCCUGUGACGAAGCGUGAGUGACGGUAAUGGGUAAAGAAGCACCGGCUAACUACGUG